GAAGGGUGGUGGGAAUGGGUGAUUGGCUGAUAGGUGUGGUAGACCUGUUGACAACAGUUUACCACACCUAUCAGCCAAUCACCCAUUCCCACCACCCUUCUGAGUAAUAC